AGUGAACGCUGGCGGUAGGCCUAACACAUGCAAGUCGAACGGCAGCACAGUAAGAGCUUGCUCUUACGGGUGGCGAGUGGCGGACGGGUGAGGAAUACAUCGGAAUCUACUUUUUCGUGGGGGAUAACGUAGGGAAACUUACGCUAAUACCGCAUACGACCUACGGGUGAAAGCAGGGGAUCUUCGGACCUUGCGCGAUUGAAUGCGCCGAUGUCGGAUUAGCUAGUUGGCGGGGUAAAGGCCAACCCAGUCGACGAUCCGUAGCUGGUCUGAGAGGAUGAUCGGCCACACUGGAACUGAGACACGGUCCAGACGCCUACGGUAGGCAGCAGUGUGGAAUAUGGGGCAAUGGGGGCAAGCCUGAUCCAACCAUACCGCGUGGGUGAAAAAGGCCUUCGGGUUGUAAAGCCCUUUUGUUGGGAAAGAAAAGCAGCAGGUUAAUACCCCGCUGUUCUGACGGUACCCAAAGAAUAAGCACCGGCUAACUUCGUG
rnacentral:rRNA from 1 species